ACCUGAAGGUGUCGCUAUACCCAUUGUUCGGAGGGUAUAAAAAGGAAGUUGAAGUGUGGUUGCUAUGGUGCUAACUUCCUGUGAGAAAGCCGGUUAGCUCAGGGAGCAGCGUGAGUUGGCUUGAGCAGAGUGCGGUAAGACUGCUGUGAUCUUUACCUGUGGAUGAUGUUUUUAAGCAGUGCUUGAUGUUUUAUUUUUUAUUUUAUGACAGGAUCACGGCAGAGGUAGAUCCUGUUUUACUGGGGGUUUUAAAGACUGGGCGUGAGGUUUUUGCGACGCACCAGUGUUGGAAUACUGUGCCCUGCUGUCCUGUGUUUAGUUUUUUGGUUUUUUUGUGUUUUGUUUAUCCGCUCCUCACGGGCUCGUGCGGCAUGAUUGACUAAUCAAGUGCAGGAGCGGACUAUUUCUGUCUAUUUUGUUUGUCAUUUUGUUAAAGUCACUUCCUCUCAUUUAUAUUGGGCAUUAUUUUGAAGUGACAUAUCUGACCGAGUGUGCUGUGCAUCACAGUUUUCUUGCAUGUUUGAAAUUUUUUUUUUUUUGGUUUUGCAUUAAUUGCGAGUCUUCCUUUCUGCACGUUUGCUGUGGUGUCAUCGGUAUAAAGGUAUUGUACUGCAAAUAAUGAUCCUGUGUUAAUAAAACUUUGACUUGCUUUA